GCAGUCGUGGCCGAGUGGUUAAGGCGAUAGUCUGGAAAUUCAUGGGGGUCUCCCCGCACAGGUUUGAAUCCUCUCGACUGCG
rfam:Ixodes scapularis strain Wikel colony gcontig_1107728591794, whole genome shotgun sequence.